rnacentral:rRNA from 1 species
AUUCGAACCCAGAGUGAUAGAAAAUUUGAUAUAUAUGGGCCUGCAAGGAUGGUUUCUAGACAGUUUCGCCUGGGCGCGCGGGUUUGGCAGAAAAUUUAAAUUUGGGAGGCGGCAUGGGUGGACAGGAUGACAGUAGCCAAGAAUAGCGCGCCGGUGGGGAAGGGCAAGGAGUAGUAUGUGACGGCGCCGCCGCCGCUGUGAAUGAGCAGCUCGUAGCCGGCGGCGUACUUGGGGCAGUCAGCGUUGGAGGAGAGGGUGGAGAGGGCGGAUGAGACAUCGAGGAGGGGGAGGUGGUGGCGAUGAUGGGCGGAGGUCGGUGGGAACACUGCGGCAGAGGAAGAGGCAGAAGAUGCGUCGGUGGCGGACCUACGGCGGCCAGCGGCGGAGGAGACGGGUGAGCAGGCGGAGGAGACGGCAAGGGGGGAGAGGUGGCAGUGAUGGUCUACGCUAAGCCUGCAGCAGCAGAGGAGGAGGCAGUAUAGGCCUCGUUAGACGGACGGCGGCGUCGGCCUGCUUGCCGAGGUUGGCAUCGGAUGAGACGGGGAAAGGGGCGGAGCCACGGGGGAGACGGCGAGGAGGAUGGUUCGCCGCGGCGGUGAGAGGUUGGACUGGUAGAAGGCAUAAGGCCGGGGAGUUGGCUGGGGUUGAACGGCGUCGACAACUGCCACAUCGCCGGAUCGAUUCCAGCGCUGCCGGCGGCGGUUCGUACGGCGCCUCCCGUUCUGGAGAGGAGAUGGUGGAUAAGGUCGAUAGUUUCUUUUUUUUUUUGACCCGG